ACGCUGGCGGCGUGCCUAAUACAUGCAAGUCGAACGGUCUUUUCUAUGGAAGCUUGCUUCCACUGAGAAGAUAGUGGCGAACGGGUGAGUAACACGUGGGUAACCUGCCCAUAAGAGGGGGAUAACAUCCGGAAACGGGUGCUAAUACCGCAUAGUUUUCUUGAUCGCAUGAUUGAGAAAGGAAAGACGGCCUUUGUGCUGUCGCUUAUGGAUGGACCCGCGGCGUAUUAGUUAGUUGGUGAGGUAACGGCUCACCAAGACGAUGAUACGUAGCCGACCUGAGAGGUGAUCGGCCACAUUGGGACUGAGACACGGCCCAAACUCCUACGGGAGGCAGCAGUAGGGAAUCUUCCGCAAUGGACGAAAGUCUGACGGAGCAACGCCGCGUGAGUGAAAGAAGGUUUUCGGAUCGUAAAACUCUGUUGUCAGAGAAGAACAAGUUGGAGAGUAACUGCUCCAGCCUUGACGGUAUCUGACCAGAAAGCCACGGCUAACUACGUGCCAGCCGCGGC
rnacentral:rRNA from 1 species